GGUAAGGCAGAGGUGCUGUAGGAGAGCUGUGUACUUAAAAGCUUGCACAGACCUACCCACAACUACUCCUUGGUUCCUGUUAGCAGUCUUAACUUCUUCCUUUCUAAAGCAACAAGAUAAGAGAAGUUCGAAGCAUUUAUGAUGCAUGAAGAACCUUGCUGAAGAAGGGGGGAAGAAAUGGACAAAUGUAUCCAAAAGCAGCAGGAAGCAGGCUGUACUGAGAGAAGACUGGCACCCCUGAAGCAUGACAUUAUUGAUCUGACAACUCUGCAAGACCUUUCCAUCCUUGGAACUUAUCAUACUGGAAUUUCUACUCAUUCUCAUCAUAGUGAGCCAUCAAGUGCAUCACUGGGCAGCACACGGAGGUGCAGGUCAUUUCAGAAGAAGAUGGGUUAUAGGUGGGAUUACCCUUGUUUUGAAGAAGGCCAUUUGGCUAGAUGAAGAGGAAAAUGACAGAUGAUUUAACAUUAGAUGCCUGUCAUUUUCCAGGGACAUUACAUCUCUUAUAUGUUGUGUCUUGCAAAUCCUGUCAUGUGUAGUGUCUGAUUUGCUCUCUCCUUAGAAACAGUGUAGAGGAGAAGCUACAUGACAGUUCACUGUUUCUAAGCUGGAUAAAAUGUAGAUGUAUAAACAGAAGCAUUUUUAAAAGUUUCAAUAGCAGAUCACAAUCUACAUCUCCCAGCAACAGGUAAGGAGAUAGACCCAGAGUGCUGGUUUUUGGCCUCAUGCAUUUCCUAGGAAAUUUCUGCUUUUACUAUACAUUUUUCCCCGCUGUCCAUCUAUAUCUUUUAAUUCCCUGCCUUGUUUUUGUGUAGUGAAGUGCAGUCACUGGACACCUCCAUGAUAUGCCAGGCUUCAGAUGAAGCUGCUGCUGGGAUGAGGGGCACAUGGCCAGAAACGUGGCAGAUGGGGAGUGGCACAAGUCCAGGGAGCACUACAAGGGGAGAUUGCUGUAAUUAGUGGGGAAACCAGUGGCUGAUAGCAGACACAGGCAUUGUUGUCUGCUUUAGGUGGAACUGCAGCUGCUCUUUUAUUGAAUGUAAUUUUAAUAAUCUUCAGUGAUAUUUUAUGUCUAAUGAGAAUCUUGCAGAGAGUGUUUUAUUCAGAUUCUGUCCUCUCUUUUUCUUAGCUAUAGUUGAGCUACUCUAUUUUUUAGGUCCUUGAGACAAUAUAGAAACAACUUUGUGGUUCAUUUGCAUCUGAUAGCUGUUUCCAGAGUACAGUUUCAGCCCACCUUCAUCUAACUCUAACUGCAUUCACAGAGAAGUUUCCAGUACAACUGAUGCUUUGUUGUGAACAUCUAUGUCUAUGUAAAUAAAGCAAUUAGACGACUAUGCUUUGCUGAAUCCUCAUCACUCUGCUAUGUUCACAGAGAUGCCUUCUCUUUGUGAUUUAUAUCUAUAUUUGUUCCUCCUGCAAACACUAUUUUCUGUUAAUACAUACAAAUAUUCAAAUGACAAAGUGAAGCAAUCAAAAAUAUAAACCUUGUAAUACAAUGCUGGUGUUGUAAUUUUUUUUUACGACACAGGAAAGUGUACAGAUGAAGGUAUGUUGUUUAAUGCAAUUAUAAAACAGAUAACUGCCACAUAAUGUGUUAAUGUUUCCCUCUUGUUAAAUGCUGACUUUAAUUAAAUGAACUCUUUACCUAAGAGAAGCAAAAUUGAUUUUGUGAUUUGGAUACUGUCAAUAAAAUCAUUGUGACUAGUGAGAUCAGAUAUUAUUAAUUCAGAACAAAUGUACAAUUAUAAGUUCAAGGCCAUUAGUUGUCACCUAAUGGAGAAUCAAAAGAGCAAGGUUUACCAAGAUAUUAAUUCACAAAUUACCCAUUUUUCUGACAAUUGCAUUACUAUGAUUGUUAUAAUUAGUAUUACCGGUACAAAGACAUACUACUUAACGAUGAAGUCAUUUUGUCAUCAGGUUGGUCAACUCAUUGCUGAUAAUACCUAAAACUGGUGUUCAGAGCUAACAAACUAAAGUGACAUUUUAUAAUCACAUAAAUCCAAACAUAUGGGAGACUUGUUUCUCCUUGCUGAACUACAUACAGAUAUUCUGUUUUUCCCCCUUGUCUGUCAGUAAAAAUGAGAUGUAUAUGAGGACAAAACAGCACAGGGUCACCAGCCAAGAGCUUGGCACUUCCUGAAAUGUGGCUGUUGUUUCUGGGACAUAGUUUGAAAUAAAUUGAAGAGGCUUCCUUUCCAAUAAGAUCUAAGGACUGAAAAACAUGCACAACAGCUGACAGCUGAAGGUUGGCCUUCAAAGUUUCUUCCAGAAGAUUUUCUUCCAUAUGUUAUUAAUCUAUUAUAAUCUAUUAGUAAAUGGCAUUACGUAUGUAAGCUAAAAAAAGAAUCAGAAAUUUGUAUUGCACAUUACUUCAGUAUAGAUAUGAUACAGCCUGCUGAAGGAAAUCGAACAAUUUCUUAACCUUCCAUUUUAAUUUAGUAACUUAUGUCUGUCAGGGUUUUAUAUGUCUGGGUUUCUGGCUGUCCCUUUUCAGAACUGCUCUUGUCUCAGCUCUUGACUGGGUAAACUCAAACACAAUGCUGCCAAACAUAGAGCCGCGGUUACCACUCAUCCUGUCAGACUUCAUUAGUCCUGUUGUACGUUUGUCUGGGAAAAUAUCUACCUAUCUGUUUUGAUUUACUACUGAAACAUGAAUAGUUUCAUUUUAAGUCUAUAAUUAUUUUAUGACCUCUGUUCAGAAAAGAUGCUAACCUUUUCUUUCUUUCUUUCUUUCUUUCUUUCUUUCUCUCUUUCUUUCUUUCUUUCUUUCUUUCUUUCUUUUCUUUCAAGAACUCCUCUCUGACUUCAAUGCAUAUAUUAGCAUGGCCCUCUUACAUAUUGGACAUAGUUGACAUAGAUCAGCCUGUUAUAUUAAGAAGAACUUAACACACACAUUUUGACAUUGUUUAGUUUGCUUGCAGUAGAACAUACAACACAGAGAGUAUCCAAAAGGGAUGUCUUUCAGUGGCAGAGCUCUUGUUUUGAUUUCUAGCCAAGCAGUUACAUGUCCUUCUCAACAGUGAACACCUGCACAAAGAAGAUGAGUAGGUGGAUAUGAAGAAAAAGAACUCCCUGAAAAAUACCUUUGAAAGUUCUCAGGUUUUGUUAAUAAGUAGCAGUUUAAAGUAGCAGUUUCAUUUGGAAUCUGAAGAUCCUUUGGAACAGUCCAAGAAAUUUAAAAAAAUAAGAAAAGAAAGAAGUAGAAAAAGAUUUGUCUAUGAAGUUCUGUAGUUCAAUCCAGCAUGACAUCUUCCAACAUAAUUAAUGACGUGGAAAUCAUUGAGGUUUGAUUCUAUUUAGGUAGCUGGAGUUUUGUUGGAUAAUUUGGUCUUCAGCAUCCUUCUCAUAUUCUCUUCCAAGCUCUGUUUACACUAGAUGUUUUUCACUGUCUCUCCUACUCUAAGGGCAGUAAUUAAAAGGUUUCUUAGAGCAUUUCAACUGCACCCAAUAUACCUUCACAUUUAUAUGCUUUGUUUGACCUUCAAAAGGUAUCUAUCAUAGCAGAAACUAAAAACAAGGAAUCCACGUUAGAAAAAAUAGCACUUUUAUGCUGAUUGAUUCCAGAUAGUGCAACAGCUACUGCUGUGAAUGAGAAGCAACAAAUUCACUGACAAACACUGGUUUCAGCGGAGGAAGCUUGGUUAAUCCAGGAAGCACAGGAUUAGAAAAAGCAAUGGGAAUUCUGUGACUUUGUCUGCCUUCCAAGUCUUCCCCCAGUGGCUGACAAUUACGUGGCUGUCGUUGUUGCUGUGUUGUCUGAAGGCCUUGACAACGUUGGCAUCUGUGGAUGCUGCUUCCUGAGCAGCUUGUGCAGAGACCCCUAGGCCAGUCACUGACACCUGCUGCACUAAUUCCCCAGACUGCCUCCUCAAAGAUGCCAAGGAGCAUCCCCUAGUUUGCCGGAGAGCAAAGGGGCAGUCCUUGGUGUUCCCAGCUUCACACAAUUGUUCUAGAAAUUUCUUGCAACAGAGGGCAAUGAUGAUAUUGUGGGAAGAGAUUAGAAAAAGACUGAGAUGCAGUAAAUCUGUCCCACUACACAUUGAUCAUAUUUAUGGAGCAGAACGAAUCUUUCAACUCUUUCAAGGGCAAGAAAGACUUGCCUAGGGGGAGCCACUUUGUUGACAAAGCAGCUGGAAAGUAAUUUCAGUGCAAGGAGACACCUUGUGCAGCUGCCUGUUUUUGCAGGUGUAAGGCCAGACUUUGUUGCUCUGAAAAAAUGUGAUGAAGUAGCUGAUCAAAUGCUCUGAUAUUAAUAAUUCAGCUAUGUUUUUAACAUAAUCUGCAUGAUCUGAUUUUGCAUCUGACUGUGUUUGUAUUAUAGAAAUAUUUCAUCAACUGAAUUAAGCGAAAGAAGUGUUUGCUGGAGUACUAAAUUUUAGGCAGAAAGUUCAUUUUUAAAUUCAUGUACAGUGAUUUUUUUUUUUUUUGCUGGGACUUUAUUCUAAGUUUUUAAGUCAUUGCAAUAAACAGAAUGGACCAUCUUGGGCAGGAAAACAGCCUGUUUAGAUGAUAUGAAUACUACCCUCCCCACAUGAACUCCCCCAAUGUGAUGCUGUGUGUUUUUUAAUUCUAAAGCUCCUCGUAUAAAAAUAUAAAUGCAUAUAUAAAGAUUGUUCCUAACCUAACAGUGUUUUAAAUAGUAGGUAUUUUCAAGAACAACAUUUGGAAAACUGACAAGAAAAAUUCAGAAAACUCAUCAAAGAUACUUGUUUUAAAUUAAUGGCUACACUUUUUGAAUUAUCAGCAGCAGGGUUUGGAGCUAGCUAGAUUUCUCUUGAGUGUGGUGUUUAUGGUGGUUUUUGUUUAUAUGUUGUUAGCUUUUUUCACAUCUCUUUAUUGUGAAUUUCAAUUAAUCACUGUGUUCCCAGGGGAAGAUGAACACUGUCUUGUUUUCUAGAGAACAUUUCUUUCACCAGUGGUUCUAGCCCAGCUCUUAGAUCCAUCUCCAAUUAUUAUAGCUGUAACUUAUUUUACAGGUACAAAUAAACAGCUUGUAAUCCGCUGGUAUAUUUAUUGAUUCAUAACUUGGUUUUUAGAUAAACCUGCUGGAACUCAAAUGAGGAUUGAAUUACGCACUUCCAUAACUGGGUUUAGAGUGAUUAUUGACACAUCUGGUCACCAUAUUUUUGAAAAGGAAAAGGCGUCUCUCAUGUUCAAAAACCAGUAUUAAGUCUUUACAUCUGUGACUGAACUUAGGACAUACUCUCCAGCUAGCUUCAUCAGGAAUUAUAUUUUUAGAAAUACCAUAUAUCUUUACAGAAGUAGAUGGAUGGGCUCCAUGUCUUAAAUUGAAAUUCAAGUACUAAAUCAUGCCUCGACAUGUAGCUGUUAAUACGUGUCAAUUGAAACUUCCUCACUCCUUGUCAUCCUUCUCCAGAUCCUUUCUCCUGCACAACUGAGGCCGUGUUUAAGUUUAAGCUGGCUUACAGUUCAAAAGAAUGGGUUGAAGAUGGGAAAACACUCAACCUAAUGGUCUUCUAGUGAUAAGGAUGCUUAAACUAAUCAUCUCUGGAAAGCUUUCCCUGCACCAGAUGCAGCUAGUGAACAAUAUCAUUGCUAUUCUCCACACUACCAGCAUCUAAUCCAUGAAGCCAGGAAAGAAUGUCCAGAGAAGAAGCAAAUCAGCAUUGAUCACCAAGAGACUAGUUUCCAACAGAGUGGAUAAAUCUCCUGUCUCUCUCUCUUCUAAUGUUCUUCCUGGCCCAAGGCACCCUGAUGAACCACUGGCCUCCAUCCAACUCACACUGAAAGGAAGUCAGAUUCACAGUGAGAUGAUUCAGGGGAAUAGUCUCAUCAAUUGCACCCAGAAUGCUUAAUUUUAUUGCAAAGACCAACACCAACUCCCACUGCCAAAUCUGUCUUGCUGAGAUAUACAUGAGCUGAAGUUGAGUCUGAUCAUGUGUCAAGGACAAUAGAAAAUCUGUUUCAGCCAAAGCCACGAAAUAUCAGGAAAUACUGGCUGGGAGCAGAGUUAGGCCCAUCUUCCCUCUCUCACUGCACUCUCACCAAAAGCAGGUCCCUUAUUUCAGUAUUAGAUUCUGUGGCAGACUUAAUGUCUUCACUGAAAUGGCAGAGAAAUUGAGAAAAAGGAGCUAUACACAUCAAUUUGCCUCCAAAACAUGAGUGGGUGAUGGCUACAAGUUGAGAAAAACUGCUUUUUCAGCUCUGUCAUUAUGGGCUGUGUUGGCAUUGAAUGCUGUGGAAGUCUCUGUAAGCACAUGUGCAUGCUUGGGGUUGCAUGCUGUCCGGGCUGAUGCUGAAACGGUGCUGCAGAACACUGUUCUACAUCAGCUCCUCAAAAGUAUGCACCAGCAUUAUGCACAGAAAGACAGCAUUAUGGUAGAUGUUAUCACAGAGAAAUCAUUUCUCUGUUUUGUCCCUAGCAUCGCUACCACAUGUGUCAUUUACAGACUAGAGUUUCCAGGAAAUAACAUGCAAGAAGCCCUUCACCUUUGCAAGUGAAACCAAGAAAAAGCUACUAAUGAAAGGACAAAGCAUUUUUUAAGUACUAGAGCAGGAACAGAUCUGCAGCUGUAAUUCACCUCUUUUCAAUUAAUUUAUGUCACUUUUUUUUUUGGAAACUUUGUUUAACACUUUCAUUUUUUUCUUGGGUUUGGCUCAGGGUAUGCAGAAUUUUUUGGAGUCCAAAAUUUUUUCCUGAGCAGCACACAAGAAUCUAUUUCUUGACCCAAAAUAAAAUACGGAUGAAUUUUCUGACCAUUAUGAGCAUACUGGAAAGUAGAGAGCGCUCUGAAAAUCGUGGCAUGACUAAAAGACUGAUAUUUUAGUGAAGCUGAAAGAGAGCGAGUUGCUUAUGAAUAUAAUAGCAACUGUAGUCAUACUAGCAGGAGUUGAAUUACAAGGUCAUCAGUCCGCAGGCUAUGAGACCUUGUCAAAAGAUUCCACUAUUCCUAAUUCUCCUACCACAAACACCACAUCAUAUAAUAUGAUCUAAUGCAAUGUUAUACAAUAUAUAAUAUUUGUAUUACAAUGCAUAUACAUGGUAUAAUACUUAAAAACACGGGGAGAGAACUCUGGAUAAGCCUGCAUCCUUCAUAAGACAUGCUGCCAUUUUAAUCUUGCUCAUUGAGAAAAUUAUGUUUAUGUUACGACACUCUGAGAUUUCCUAACCGUGGAAGCAUGGGAAAAACACAUAAACAAGAAACACAAGGGGGCAGAACCUCUUUAAAUUGCUCUAGCACGUCAGGGAAUACGAUUAGCCUUUCAGUAUCAAAACUGUGGGGGGUCUCGAGAAAAUUCCAUAAACUGCCUCCUGGAUGUUAACAGCUGCAACCAAGCAAAACUAGGCACACACAGAGGAUCCUUCGUAAGUGUUUGCUCACAUACACCAGGCUCUCUAGCUAGUUAUUCCCACUAUGUCUGAAAGCAUGCAUAUGUUUUCCUCCUUCAACAGACACACUGACAUUGUUGAAAAUACUUGUUUAGUCCAGUUACCGACAGUAGUUUUCUCUUUCUAGCCACUGUUGACCAGUUUUGUCUCAUAAUUGACAGUUUUUGCUCUUCCAUGCUCAGAAGUAGCAAGGGCUAACUGGGGAAAUGUGUUAAAGCAGCCCCAUUAUGUUCAGUCUGUUGUGACUGGUUCAUGACAUUACACUUCUGUUUUGAGCUGUGUUUGAGCUCCAGAGGGCUUGGUGUGUCGCCUGACACCCAAUGAUAGAUGUUGCCCAUCCCCGGACAGCAAGACAGAGCACUGUUUUUAUUUGCAGCUCGCCUCCCUAAAACAAUGGCUCAUCCAUUGUUCAGGGGGAUUGCAGCUCGUGUACAAACAGGAUGGCAUGACAGCGAGAGGCCAAAGGGACAGCCUGCUCUCUAUAAGUUCAUCAGGGGUGGUAAACACAAGAGAGGGAGAAAAGCUAUUUAAGCUACAGAACAAUGUUGGCACAAGAACAAAUGGGUCUGAAUUGGCCAUGAAUAAAUGUGAGCUGGAAAUUAGAAGAAUACUUCUAACCCUCAGCACAGUGAGGCUUGGGAACAGCCUUCCCAUUGGGGGCAAGAAACCUAACUGGGUUCAAGAUGGAACUUGAUAAAUUUAUGAAAAGGAUUGUAUGUUGUGGUUGCCUAAGACAGCAGGGGACUGGACACAGUGACGCAGGAUGCAGUUUCCAGGCCUAUGCUCUUCACAGCAAAAACAACAAUUACUCCUUCAUAUGUAUGCUUUCAGGCCUUCUUUUCCAAUCCAGGGCUGCACUUCUACUCAUAACCGUAUUGGAGGAAUUUAGGUUUUAACACUGGCUCAACCUGGCAGCUUGUUUGCUGUGCUGUGACCACGCUGAACCACCUUCAGGGAAUGAAUCUCAGCCUUGAUUUUGUGGGAAAUUAUAUUAUUUGUUGCAACUGGAAAACGACAGCGCUUAAUUUUUACAGUGCUCUUACUGAUGCGGAGACUGCUGUGCAAUUUGGCACAACAUGCCAUUUCUCAUCAAGAAAAGCCUGAGACUGGAAUAAUAAGGAAGUUCCAAAUCAGGGUGAAGGUGCACAGGCAAAAUUGUUUUGGGAAAUUCAAAAAGCUUGUCACACCCCAUAUACCUGCAGGAUUUGAUAAAAAUAGUUGAUCGUGCUCAGAAAUUGGAAGUGUUAUAUAGCAACGUUGAAGAAUUGUGCAUUGACUGAAACUUCAUUUUUAGUUUAUUAUUUAAAAAUAUUGUUUGAUAAAUAGUACUUGACAUUAAGAUUUCAAUAGAACACGUGAAACAAUCAUAAUGUUUUUGCAGUAGGAAACGGUGCUGAUAUCAUUCCAAUAUCUCUAUUAUUUUGUUUCAGGAAAUACAGUUAUCACAUUGUUUCAGUGCUAACUUAUGGGGUAGGGACAGCAAAGACACUUCCUUAAUCCUAUCAGACUUCCUCCAAAUUACCACUAUGGUCUAUACAGUCAAAGUCGCAUUACCUGAAUGUCAGGAAUUGUGUAAGGUGGCGUUCCAAUAAAUACUGUAGCUUCUAGGGGGAGAUUCAGUUCACAAAGAAGGAAUAUGAUCACUCCUUAAAGGAACUUCCAGUGACACAUUUGUUAUUGUCUGAACAAACUACUUAGAACUUCAGAAAGGUCACUUUAGCCUCCUUAGGCACGAGCAUUCCUACACUCCCACAGCAUUCAGCAGCUGUAACUUACUUCAAAUCUAUUUCAUGUGGUCCAACUCUGGACAAGAAUUAGGAAAUAUUUUCCACAAUAGCAGAGGUCUCUCCCUUUCUGGUGACUAACCCCACGGGUAAUGCAGAACAGCAAACUUGUGUCACAUAUGGUACCUUAUUAACCACUUUAGAAAAAAGAGACGCUUGCAUAUUAUAGUUAUCUGUCAUCCUCCUAUUGAACUGUUUGAUGUAAAUCUCCUGGCUGGUAUGUGUGAUCUCAGUUUUGGAAAGACUAUAAUAGCUUGAUGAAAAAGUU